rnacentral:snRNA from 1 species
AAAUCAUUUUUGCAGUUGAUAGA